CCCCUGCCCGUUAGCAUUAGC
rnacentral:miRNA from 1 species